GCCCCCUCUACGUCAUCCGAAUCCUGCCAAGGUUGACCACUUGGGCUUUCUUUCACAGCUCACUACCGAAUCGACGCUGUUAAUUUAUCUUGCAUUUCCGCCUCCUUGGCAUUAUCGUUUGUAUUUACAGCAUAAACAUGAUUUAGAUGCUCAGGUUCAGGUUGCAUUCUUGGGUGAGCUGUAGAUUUUGUUUCAGUGCGAGCCAGUUUUUUUCUUUCAUUUUUAUUUUGCUCCUCAUUCCGUCUAGCUAGCAUAGGAUUACACCACCGAUCAUGCCUAACAGGAUUUCUUGCACAACAUGGUGCCCGCACAUGCCUGCAUAUUUGUCGGAAUUUGUGUCAAAAACUGAUAUACUAUAAGGCAUACUCCCUAGCUACUAACAUGCUACUUGGUAAUCACAAGAUAUAUACCUAUUCUCCAUUCCUUUUUUGCUUCACUUCUAGAAGAAUAAUUGUUUACCUUUUGUUACAAUUUUUAAGUGAGGAAUUGUUCUCCCAAAGUUGAGUGAUAUACGUAAAUAUAAGAUGUGGAAUUACCUGACACACACACACACACACACACACUAAUGCCCUUGUAUUCACUACUAGCUUUUUCUACCACUUCACUGGCUGAGUAUAUUGAUUUGAAUGAAUGUCUUCCCUUGUUUGUGGUUGGCAUUUAGCUGAUUUGGCUCUCUACUUGCUUGGAUUGGUUGUAGAUGGGAGAUCGAGUAGCAUAUUGGUUUAGAUAAAUAAUAGGUUUCCAGCGUGUCGAAAAGGAGUAUGGAGUUGAGUUCUAAUUUUUAUUACCACUGGUCGCAAUGGCGCAAGAUGUUCCUUUGAUAGUUUUAUGUGGGUACGAGUUUCUUUUGAAAGUACAUAUGGCUAAAUUUUGAGCUUCAAUGUUAUUUCAUGGCAACCUUUGUUCUAAGGAAAAGAUGCUUAUUAGUACUCUUGAUUAUUUAUGUUAUUUUUUGGAGGCUUUCUCUCAGCUUUGUUCUCAGCAAUGGGCUUUGCUGAUGGUUUUGUCCAAAAUAAGGUAUUUCAACGGAAAUCAUAUGGCAUGCAUGGAUUAAAUCUUGAACUUUGCUACUAAAUAUUUGUACUAAACAUGGUGUAAGUUGCUUGUCAGUUUUGCCUCAUAAUCCUAGCUCUCAUUGGUUGAUUUUCAUGAUGUUGCGUACAUUUUACUGA
rnacentral:lncRNA from 1 species